rnacentral:lncRNA from 1 species
UAUUGUUAAAGGAAGAUUAACCAGAUAAACUAAUUAACAUUAUAGACGUAAAGAAACUUAUGGACAUUUUCGUAAAUAAAAUAAGACUUCCCUGUUAAUAAAACCUCGCCGAGUCGAACUCAUUCGCUGGUGUUUAGGCAACAUGUAUAUACAUACAUAUAUAUAAGCAUAGACGGACACAUGCCGAUGUUUGAUAAUAUAAAGUGCAUGUAUAUAUAAAUACACAAGUAGAUAUGUACGCACUUGCAUACACAUAACAUUCAGUGUUGCCGUAUCUGCCUCGCUUCGUUUAGUAAACUUACAUGUGUAAAUUAUACGAAUGUAUACUUAGAUUACAAAACAUGAACACACACAUUGAGUAAAAUACCGCGAACAAAUACACACGCAAGCAUAUAUACACACACACACACACACACAUACACACACACACACACACACACACAUACACACACACGCACGCACACACACAAAUGUAUACAGAUAUGUACACACAGGCGCGCGCUUAUAUCUAAUGUUUGUUUGUUUGUGUGUAUGUGUGUACAGUAGUUUUACAACUAAAUAGCUUCGAAAGAAUAUAACUUCCAUUCAAACUGUGUCUGUGUGUAUUCGCAGAAAUCUGAUACAAACACGUGAAAUAGUGAACAUAAGUUCUGUAACACACAGUAAUAUAUAUAUGUACGUAUGUGUAUAUGUAGAUAUACAUUAAAUCCACGAAACACCCACAUAGAUGUGCACACGUUUAAAUAACACGCGUUAGCCAACGCACGUUAAAUAAAACACGCACACACAUACGUACACACCACAAACCUAUAUGAUAGUAAAUAGUAACACAGAUGCCGAUACCAACACACGCACGUCCACACCGACAUGUAAAACGACGGACACCCCCACAACCUACACAGUUUCAAAUUCACGGUUGACAUUAAAACAAGGAAAGAAAGAAGAAUUUUGAAAUCUCGGUUCAUAAAACCUCUCAGACCUCCCAGGAAAACAUAUUCGACUACAAACCGUACUACAAACAACAAACCUGCGAAUUUAGUCCGUUUUAUAAAACUUCGUUGCACGCACUUAACGCCAGUUAGUCUUUCGACGUUACCUAUGUGUGUUCUAUUAAAAGAAUCUUAGGUAAGUACUAACAUUGCACAUAUUUACUAAUGCCUUCUCAAUUUAAAUAUUUUUUUUAAAUUCCAGUUUCGCUUAUUAUUUUUCGGGAAACUUUUCAGGAAUUUUGUGGUGUCUUGCCGAUUUAAUCACUUACAUAUGUUUUCAAUCAAUGCUGGGAAUUAUCUAUCUACCUGACAAUAUUUGGAAUUAUUUAUUUAUUUAACAACUCUAUAUCUCUGUCACUCUCUCUCUCUCUCUUUCUCCCUUUAUACAUCUAUAUCUAUAUCUAUAUAUACACAUUGUACGUAUAUUUACCUAUAUAGCAAUCGCUAAGUCAUUUCCCAUGCAUACAUAUGCAUUAAUAAAUGCAUAUAUACACACGUAUGCAUGUAUAAUAUAUAUAUAUAUAUAUAUAUAUAUAUAUAUAUAUAUAUAUAUAUAUAUAUAUAUAUAUAUAUAUAUAUAUAACUACACAAUUAUCUUCCAUCCAUUCAUCUCUCUCUCUAUCUAUCUAUAUACUAAUUCCAUCCUUUCACUGUUUCUCUCGGUUCUUCUUUUCUUCUUCUUCUUCUUCUUCUUCUUCUUCUUCUUCUUCUUCUUCUUCUUCUUCUUCUUCUUCUUCUUCUUCUUCUUCUUCUUCAUCCUCUUCUUCUUCAUCCACUUCUUCUUCAUCCUCUUCUUCUUCUUCUUCUUCUUCUUCUUCUUCUUCUUCUUCUAUCUUCUUCUUCUUCUUCUUCUUCUUCUUCUUCUUCUUCUUCUUCUUCUUCUUCUUCUUCUUCUUCUUUUUCUUCUCUUUCUAUCUUUCCAUUUAUCUUCACCCUAUUCAAUCGUUUCUGCCUUUGUGCCUUUUCCCCCACUAAAACUUUUUCUUGUUUCCUUUCAUCAUUUCUUCUCAAUAUCUUCCUUUCUUCUCUGCCUUUGUUAACAAAUCGAGGCCUUGGCGGAACCAGACUUGCACACAUUUGAUAAGGCGUACCACCACCUUUAAAGUACAUGAAUCGGUCUAAUUAUUUUGUAUGUUGGUAAACAUUCAUACAUCCAUACAUAAUACAUACAUACACACACAUAUAUAUAUGCUUUUAUUCUUUUACUUGUUUCAGUCAUUUUACUGCGGCCAUGCUGGAGCACAGCCUUUAGACGAAGAAUAAGUCCUGGGGUCGAUUUGACCCCAGGACUUAUUCUUUGUAAACCCAGUACUUAGUCUAUCAUUCUCUUUGGCCGAACUGCUAAGUCACGGGCACGUAAACACACCAGCACCGGUUGUCAAGUGAAUGUGCGGUGGGGGUGGGGACAAACACACACAUAUACGACGGGGAUAUUUCAGCUUUGGUCGGCCACGCAGUGGGACUGAACCUGGAACCAUGUGGUUGGUAAGCAAGCUACUUACCACAGAGCCACUCCAACAUAUAUAUAUGCAUAUAUAUAUACACACAUAUAUAUCUAUAUAUAUACAUACAUAUAAUAUGGAUAUAAACACACACACACACAUAUAUAUAUGUAUACAUUAAUAAUAAUUCGUGUCUAGGUGAGAGAGGAACACAUUCAUCUUAUAUUUAUCUCUCUACAUGUUUAUGUUUCUCGAUACAUGUGUGUGUGUGUGUGUGUGUAUGUGUGAGUGAGUGUGCGUGUGCGUGUGUGUCUAGGCGAAGUAGUGCUUCUGUGGUAAGACGCUUGCUUUCCAACCACAUGGUUCCGGAUUCAGUCCCACUGCGUGGCACCUAAGGCAUGUGUCUUCUACUACAGCCUCGGGCCGACCAAAGCCUUGUGAGUGGAUUUGGUGGACGGAAACUGAAAGAAGCCCGUAAUAAAUAUUAUAUAUAUGUGUGUGUGUGUGUGUGUGUGUGUGUGUGUGUGUGUGUGUGUGUGUGAGUGUGUAUUUGUGUGUCUGUGUUUGUCCCCUAACCAUCGCUUGACAAUGGUGUGUUUACGUACCCCGUUACUUAACGGUUCAGCAAAAAGGACCCAUAGAAUAAGUACAAUGCUUACGAAGAAUAAGUCCUGGGGUCGAUUUGUUGGACUAAAGGCGGUACUCCAGCAUGGUCGCAGUCAAAUGACUGAAACAAGUAAAAGAUUAAAAGAAUAUAUAUACAUAUAGGAGUGGCUAUGUGGAAAGUAGGUUGCUUACCAACCACAUGGUUCUGGGCUCAGUCCCACUGCGUGGCGCCUUGGGCAAGUGUCUUCUACUAUAGCCUAGGGCCGACCAAAGCCUUGAGUGGCUUUGGUAGACGGAAACUGAAAAGAAGUCUGCCGUAUAUAUGUAUAUAUAGGUAUAUAUAUGUAUGUGUGUUUGUGUGCCUGUGUUUGUCCCCCCAACACCGCUUGACAACCGAUGGUGGUGUGUUUACGUCCCCGUCACUUAGCGGUUCUUAAGCGAGACCGAUAGAAUAAUUACUAGGCUUACAAAGAAUAAGUCCUGGUGUCGAUUUGCUCGACUAAAGGCGAUGCUCCAGCAAGUAAAAGAGUAAAAGAGAGAGUAUAAAUAUAUAAUAUAUAUAUAUAUAUAUAUAUAUAUAUAUAUAUAUAUAUAUAUAUUUAUAUUUAUAUAUAUUCAUAUAUAUAUGCAUAUAUACAUAUAUAUAUAUAUAUAUAUGUGUGUGUGUGUGUGUGUGUGUGUGUGCGUAUGUAUAUAUAUAUAUAUAUAUAUAUAUAUGCACACACACACACACAUAUGUAGUGAAGGUGUAUGACCUAGUGGUUAGUGCGCUGCACUCAUGGUCGCUAGAACGUGCGUUCCAUUCCUGGGCCUGGCAACACGUUGAUUUCUUGGGCAAAAACCCUACUAUCAUACCGUCAUCUCACGUAUGUCAUACCUGUGCACCUGUACGAGGAAGACUGUUUUGAUGGUAAGAUUGAGCUCACCUCAACGCAAGCAUUUCAUCACUGUAAACAAAUUAACUGUGUGUCCGUUCCGGUAGAAGUUGUGGACCCUUGUCCAUUGUUUAAAGUCGGGAGUGUCCACAAUACCUAUUCAAACAUAUAUAAAUGGAUGAAUGUGUGUGUUUGAUUGAACAUAGAUAAGCAUCUCUAUAUCAACAAUGUUUUUCUCUCCCUGUGGUCACGAGAAAGAAUAUAUGUAUAUAUAUAUAUAUAUAUAUAUAUAUAUAUAUAUAUAUAUAUAUGUGUGUGUCUCUGUGUCUACUCGACCUUUUUUGUGUGUAUGCGUGUAUCUGUGUGUGUGUGUGUAUGUGGGUGUGUGUAUGUGUGUGUGUGUGUGUGUGUAUGUAUGUGUGUAUGUUGUGUGUCUAUGAUGUCCCCCACCAUCGCUUGAAACCGAUGUUGGUGCGUUUACGUCCCCGUAACUUCAGCGUUUCGGCAAAAGAUAAUGAUAGAAUAAAUGCUAGGCUAACAAAGAAUAAAUUCUGGGGUCGAUUUCUUCGACUUAAUGCUGUGCUCCAGCAUGGCCACAAUCAAAUGACUGAAACAAAUGAAAGAAUAAAAUAAUAUAUAUAUAUAUAUGUAUAUGGAUAUUGACUGUGUGGUAAGUAGCUUGCUUACCAACUACAUGGUUACGGGUUCAGUUCCACGUCACCUUGGGCAAAGCCUCGAUCUGACCAAAGCCUUGUGAGUGGAUUUGGUAAACAGAAACUGAAAGAGGCUCGUCGUGUAUAUAUAUAUAUAUAUAUAUAUAUAUAUAUAUAUGUGUGUGUGUGUGUGUGUGUGUGUGUGUGUGUGUGUGUGUGUGUGUGUGUGUGUGUGUGUGUAUUUGUAUGUCUAUGUUCGUCCCCUCAACAUCGCUUGACAACCGAUGCUGAUGUUUUUACGUCCGCGUAACUUAGCGGUUCGGCAAUAGAGACGGAUAAAACAAGUACUAGGCUUUCAAAGAAUACGUCCUGGGGUCGAUUAGCUCGACUAAAGGCGGUGCUCCCACAUUGCCGCAAUCAAAUGACUGAAACAAAUAAAAGAAUAAAAGAUUAUAUAUGUAUACACACACUUAGAUACAAACAUACACUCACGAGACACACACGCAGACACACACACACACACACACACACACACACACACACACACACACACACACUCAUAUACGCACUGUUUGUGUUAUAGCAGUAGAAAUGUGUAAAAUCGUGAGGAAGCGAUUGCAUAAUUUAAGAGAUGGCACCUGAACAUAUCUCUUGGAAUAUGGAAACUUUACCGAAGCUUGUCUCCAAAUUUUAAGUUUUCGAUAUUGAUAUGUAGCAGAAAAGUGUCAAUCGUUACUGAAGCAUUUGAGUUUCUCGCUUAUCAAAAUCAACGUUUUGGAGAUCUUUAAUUUGCUCACACGUUUACUACUGCAUAAUGUACAUCAUACGACGAAAUAUUUUCAAAAUAUCAACAGUCAAUAGGUGCAGGCGUGGCUCUGUCGUAAGUAGCUUGCUUACCAACCACAUUGUUCCGGGUUCAGUCCCACUGCGUGGCACCUCGCGCAAGUGUCUUCUACUACAGCCUCGGGUCAACGAAAUCCUUGUGAGUGGAUUUGGUAGAUGGAAAUUGAUAGAAGCCCGUAGUAUGUGUGUGUGUGUGUGUGUGUGUGUGUGCGUGUGUGUGUGUGUGUAUGUGCGUGUGUGUAUGUGUGUGUGUGCGUUUAUAUGUGUGUGUGUGUGUGUGUGUGCCUGUGUAUAGUCGCUGGAGUGGCUGUGUAUAGUCGCUGGAGUGGCUGUGUAGUAAGAAACCUGCUUCCCAACCUUGGGCAACUGUCUUCAAAUACAGCCUCGGGCCGACCAAAGCCCAAGUGGUUAUGUUAGAUGGAAACUGAAAGAAGCCCGUCGUAUGUACAUGUAUAUAUCUAUAUUUAUGUGUGUUAGUGUUUGCACCCCGCCAUCGCCUGAUAACCAAUGUUGGUGUGUUUACGUCCCCGUAACCUAGCGUUUAGGCAAAAACGAUCGAUAGAAUAAAUACCAGACUUACAAAGAAUAAGUCCUGGCAUCACUUUGUUCAACUGAAAGCGGUGCUCCAGCAUGGCCGGAGUCACAUGACUGAAGGAAGUAAAAGAAAGAAAGGAAAGAAAAAGACAACAAGGAAUCCAUCGGUCACGACGACGAGUGUUCCAGUUGGUCCUUUCCAAUGGAACAGCCAGCUCGUGACCUUAAAGUGCACGUGGCUGAAAAUUCGACAGACACGUGUGCCCUUAAUGUAGUUCAGCGUGACACAAAAUGUGAUAAGACUGGACCCUUUGUAAUACUCAUUUUUGCCAACUGAGUGGACUGGAGUAAUGUGAAAUAAAGUGUCUUGCACAAGGAUAUAUUACUCCAUCAGAAAUCGAACGCACGAUCUUUCGAUCGUGAACCACACGCCUUCACUAGUUUUAUAAUAUAUAUCUAUGUGUAUGUAGGUAUGUGUGUAUGUAUGUAUGAAUGUAUGUAUGUAUGUAAUGCAUACGUACGUAUGUACAUAUAUAUGUAUCUACGUAUGUAUGAAUGUAUGUAUGUAUGUAUGUAUGUAUUUAUGUAUGUAUGUAUGUAUGUAUGUAUGUAUGUAUGUAUGUAUGUAUGAGUGUGUGUAUGUAUGUGUGUAUGUAUGUAUGUAUGUAUGUAUGUAUGUAUGUAUGUAUGUAUGUAUGUAUGUAAUGCGUACGUAUGUAUGUACAUAUAUAUAUGUAUCUACGUAUGUAUGUAUGUAUGUAUGUAUGUAUGUAUGUAUGUAUGUAUGUAUGUAUGUAUGUAUGUACGUAUGUACGUACUGGUGUAUAUAUUUAUGUAUGUAUCUAUUACUCUCUUUCUCUUUUACUCUUUUACUUGUUUCAGUCAUUUGACUGCGGCCAUGCUGGAGCACCGCCUUUAGUCGAGCAAAUCGACCCCAGGGCUUAUUCCUUGUAAGCCUAGUACUUAUUCUCUCGGCCCUUAUGCCGAACCGCUAAGUUACGGAGAGGUAAACAUAUCAGCAUCGGUUGUCAAGCGGUGUUGAGGGGAAAAACACAGACACACAAACAUAUACACAUACAUACAUACAUACAUACAUACAUACAUACAUACAUACAUACAUACAUACAUACAUACAUAUAUACAUAGUGGCUGCCCCCUCGUUAUCGAGUAUGGCCAUUGCACGAAGUUUAAUCAAUGUUGUUAUCGUGCAAUGUUGUUAUCGUGCAACAGCAGCCAUAAUCCGAAAGAAGAACAACUCAACAUCAUCGGUAACCACUAAGCCGCAGGUUUUAUGUCGGAGUUAUCCCAGUUACCUGAGUUACCUUCUCCUAGAAGAAUGCCCUAACAAAGGCUAGGAGUCCUUCACUCCCAAUGGUUUAACCGCGCGAUCGGGUAUUCAGUACGAUUAUUUGUAUGUCCCCGCGCAUGAUACAGCCUUAAGACAUUUAUUGGAUGGUUGUUGACUCUCAAAAGUUCCACCGCCCUUUAACGGGUUUUGUUUUUCAUCCCGCAGGGUGUCCAAUAAACACCCUCCUCACAAAGCAAGCUUGGACGGGUUGCCGGUUUAGUCGCCGACGACCCGACCAUGCAACAGGUUGUACUGGAUUACAUACAUACAUACAUAUAUAUGACGGGCAUCUUUAAGUUUCCGUCUGCCAAAUCCACUACAAGGCUUUGGUCAGCCCGAGACUAUAGUAGAAGACACUUACACAAGGUGUCACACAGUGGGACUGAACCCGGAACACACAGCCACUCCUACGCCUAUAUAUCAAUUUGUGUGAGUAUGUAUGUAUGUAUGUAUGUAUGUAUGUAUGUAUGUAUGUACGGAUGUAUGUAUGCAUGUAUGUACGCAUAUAUAUAUGCACAGGCGUGGCUGUGUGGUAAGAAGCUUGCUUAGCAGCCACAAGGUUCCGAGUUCAGUCCCACUGCGUGGCACCUUGGGCAAGUAUCUUUACUAUAGCCUAGGGCCGAGCAAAACCUUGUGAGAGGAUUUGGUAGACGGAAACUGAAAGAAGCCCGUCGAAUAUAUAUACAUACAUAUGUACAUAUAUAUAUAAUAUAUAUAUAUAUAUAUAUAUAUAUUUCGUUAAGAAAUAAGUGGCCAUUUUACCGGUGAGUGUGUUAAAUUAUAAGGUACAAAAAGAAAAUGACUCCCGAGACACAAUAGUGUGUAUAUAUAUAUAUAUAUAUAUAUAUAUAUAUAUAUAUAUGUAUGUAUGUAUGUAUUUAUGUGAUUUUGUUUGUACCCCCUCCCCCCAUUAUCACUUGAUAACUGAUGUUGGUGUGUUUAGGCACCCAUAUCAUAGCGUUUCGUUUACAGAGACCGAUAGACUACGUAUUUGGCUUACAAAGAAUAAGUCCUGGCGGCGAUUUCUUCGACUAAAGGCGGCACUCCAGCAUGGCUGUAGUCAAAUGACUAAAGUAAAAGGAUAAAAGAAUAUAUGUACGUACGUAUCUAUGUAUGUACGUAUGUACGUCUGUCUGUAUGUAUAUAUAUAUAUAUGUAUGCACGUACUUAUGUAUGUGCAUGUAUGUAUAUGUGUGUGUAUGUAUACUAUAUGUGUAUGAAUUUAAGUACCGAUACAUCUGAAUUUAUUUAUACACACGCACACACAUACACACUCACACAUGUAUGUUUGUGUAAGUGUGUGUGUGCGCGUGAUAUAUAUAUAUAUAUAUAUAUAUAUAUAUAUAUAUAUAUAUAUAUAUAUAUAUAUAUAUAUAUAUAUAUAUAUAUAUAUAUAUAAACACGUACACUCACACACACAAUAUAUAUAUAUAUAUAUAUAUAUAUAUAUAUAUACAUUUAUACAUAUAUACGUGUGUAUGUAUAUGUAUUUAUAUUCCUUUAUUCUUUAAUUCCUUGUUUCAGUCAUUUCACUGCGGCCAUGCCGGAGCAUCCCCUUUAGUCGAACAAAUCGACCCUGUGCCUUAUUAUUAGUAUUUAUUGCGUCGGUCGCUUAGGCUGAACCGCUAAAUUUACGGUGACGUAAACACACCAACGUCUGUUAUCAUGCGUUGGUGAUUGGCGAGGGGGGGGGGGUAAACAUCGACACGCAAAUAUAUACAUAUAUAUGUAGGUUACUGUGGUUUCGACGACCGACGCGUGUUUCCACUGUACAGAGUAUUUGCCACUUGCACAUGCAACCGGGCAGCUUCGUUCAGGGUCUUUCAACCAGCUAGGCUUGAAGCGAACUCUUACCAAUCGGAAGAGUUUACAGUGAUAGUCAUAGAAGUUAAAUACUAAUCGAAGCGAUUAGCCAUAACCAGAAAUAUAACUCUCUUUCUCUCUCUCUUUCACACACACUCACAUAACACACAAACACGCAAACGCACACGCACACACUCACACACACACGGACACACGCACACAAACACUCACACGUAGAAAGAUAUACGUAUAUAUACACACAGGCGGCGAGCUGGCGGAAUCGUUAGCGCGCCGGGCGAAAUGCGUAGCCGUAUUUCGUCUGCCGUUACAUUCUGAGUUCAAAUUCCGCCGAGGUCGACUUUGCCUUUCAUCCUUUUGGGGUCGAUAAAUUAAGUACCAGUUACGCACUGGGGUCGAUGUAAUCGACUUAAUCCGUUUGUCUGUCCUUGUUUGUCCCCUCUGUGUUUAGCCCCUUGUGGGUAGUAAAGAAAUAUAUAUAUACACACAGAGACAUAUUUGUAUAUACAUAUAGAUAUGUGUAUAUCUAUACAUAUAUAUGAAUGCACUAUCUAUCUAUCUAUCUAUCUAUCUAUCUAUCUAUCUAUCUAUCUAUCUAUCUAUCUAUAUAUAUAUAUAUAUAUAUAUAUAUAUAUAUAUAUAUAUAUAUGUAUGUUUCUGACGAAGAGCUCGAAACGUUAAACCCUCCUUCUUUGUUUCCUGAGCGUCCAAUAAUACCAUACUUGUUCCACGUCCUCGCUUUGUUGUGUUUUCUCUUUGUGUUUUCAUGUACUGACAAAGAAAGGUGUGUUCAACUGUAUAAUAAAACCUGCAUAUGUAAAUCUCUGUUCUGAUAAUUUAUUAAUUUAUUAUUUCUUCUCUAACGGCAAGUCUCUUUAGAUUUACCGAAAUGAGGAUCUACCGGCGAUAUUAAAAUAAAUUAACAGGAGUUGAUCUACAUCCACUAAGGUUAGCCAGCAUUGUUAACCGGUAAAAUCGAAUACGGUAUCCGAAAGAAUUCUAUGUCCCACUUAACCAAUUUUGGAAAUUUGCCUACACACACACACACACACACACACACACACACACACACACACACACACACACACAUACACACACACACAAACAUACACACACACACACACACACACACACACACACACACACACACACACACACACACACAUACACACAUACAUACAUACACACAUACACACAUACAUACAUACAUACAUACACACAUACACACAUACAUACAUACAUACAUACAUACAUACAUACAUACAUACAUACAUACAUACAUAUAUAUAUAUAUAUAUAUAUAUAUAUAUAUAUAUAUAUAUAUAUAUAUAUAUUUAUAUUUAUAUAUAUUUAUUUAUAUUUAUAUAUACCCACACGUGUUAUGUGGAGGUAUUAUUAUUAACAUAGAUUGAUCUUUACCUGAAAAGCUAGCUUAAUAACUGCAUUAAUUUAAAGAAUGCAUGUAAUAUAUUAAUGCAAACAUAAAUAAUUAAUUACUUAUGAAAUAUAAUAAAAUAAUAUAUCUAUACAUCUUUAUUCACCUGUGAAAUAAUUGUUGUUAAAUAAGAAUUUCCAAUGGUAAAAUGUUAUCAUUGUAUAUUUCUCACGUUAUUUCUCCCUUUAUGUUUUUCUUUUCUAUCGUCCUAAAUAUUCUUUGUGUUUAGUCGAGUGAUACAUUGAGGAACCAUCUGCAUGAGUUCCUCGAGAAGAAUUCUUUUGAAAUUUAUUACAAGUUUGGCUUACUUUUUACUUACUCCACAUUCUGAAGUCUCACGCCUAAUCAGAAUGAGGCCAAUCCACCCUGCUGUUUCUGCACAGCUACUUGUUUAAAACCACUCAGAAACAAGGGAGGAUCUGGUAUUGUAUUCGUCCCUUUUCAUUACAUGUUGGAAACACAGCGUUGAUGAAAGAUGGAGAAUGAACACAUGAGUUUGUCUGACGCAAGAUAGACUUAUCCGAUAGUAAUUCUUUGAUUCAUCAUAUACAUAUGUACAUAUUCACAAAUACUCACAUCCAUACUUAGAUACUCCCCCACCAUCACAUAUACACGAACACAAAAAGUCAGACACAUGUCCUCAUCCACGCAUACAUACUCCUCAAAAUACACAAACACAGAGAUAGUCAUACACACACACACACACACAUACACACACACAAAUACACACAUAAAACACACACACACAUGCACACACACACAUACACACAUACAAGUACACACACUCAAAUACACACACACAAAUACACUCACACAAAUACACACACACAAACACGCACACACACAUGCACACACACAUACACACACACAAAUACACAUACACGAAUACACAUACAGAAAUACACACAAACACACACACAUGCAGACACACACACACACACAAACAAAUACACAUACUCAAGCACACACGCACAUACAGACACACACACACACACACACACACACGCACACACUAGAAGAAGUUUCUGUUGGUUUCCAUGAUGAGCAUUCGGAUGUUUGAUCACCUGAAUGUCCGACCCGUUAAAGAAAAGUGUAAAUGGUCGAGUAUUCCACAGACACUUGUACCCUUCCCAUACUUCUCAGGUCGAAUGAGUGUGACAUAUCGCGACAAGGCGGGGCCUUUGAAUUACGAGCGCAGUCCACACGGGUCGACCCGAAGCUACGCUCAAACCCCAAGAUGCAUGCAGCUGCGGGAUCGAAUCCAAGAUAUCAGGAGUAUGAGAUGGGACGAUUCAUACAACCAAACAAAUAUUCUUUUUUUAUCAAAAUCAAUGAAUCCAAAAUAAUUAUUUUAAAAGAAUUAAAAAUUAUCCGUCUAUAAGAAUUAAAGGUCCGGCAGUUUAUACAAAAAAGUUUCCAGUACACAAGUUAACAACUAUAUCCAGCUCUGCCAUUUCUACGUCUGUCAUUGGUAUGAUGCAUAUACUCGCUACAACACCAUGAUAGUAGUAAGAUCAAUGCAGAAGGUGCGCUAGCUACGGAUAUGUUGUAGGUAUAUGUGAUAUUGAGAGUAAUACCAUGUAUUGGUGCUUGGAGUGGAUUUUUAGUCAGAUUUCUUGGAAAUUAUGGACCAGAAAUCGCGGGGAAGAAGCUUCAAAAACUUCAAAGUACCGUGCCAUCUGCUCGAACAUGGACAUGUUGCUUUUUUUUACUGCAUGUAUUUUGGUUUAUGGUCGGUUUUUUUUCUGAUGUGUGUAUACCUAUGGGUGUUGUCUUAGGGUGGAUGAGUGCAAAGACGAGCAAUGUAUACAAUAGAGAAUAUAAACACUGCUACCGUUUUGUAAAACCCCAAUGGAACCUGGAAGUAGCGUGAUACACAAUUUACGAUGCUAAAUGAAACCUAUAAAUUUAUCUUCUAUUUUGACAUACAAGACAGGACUGAACAUCUUUGUCCCUCUCACUAUCCGACUAUCCAACCCGAAAUAACUUGUAACAGGGAGGUAAAAAAUAAAUAAGGGCACUCUUACCUCACGAAUUAGGAAUCAGCUUAACUCGAUGGUCGUUCCCCACGUAUACAGUAUGCUAACUUCUAGCAAGAAAAAUACUCUCCCUAAAAGAUCCCUUCCACACAUCUCUUGCCCUCGACUUCCUGACUAAAAAAGACACUUUGCAAAUGCCCCGCUUCUUGACGUGACGUCAGUUGCCCGCGCUUCCGAUCGUAGCCUCACCCUUCUUUCCUCGCUUCCAUUUCUGACGUUUCCCCCACCCCUCACAUUGUGCAAAGCUGACUUCAGCCGCAUUGACAAGAGAAUUUUGGAUUGAAUCAUACAAAUUAUUCAAUAAUGCAUUUAAUUUCACCCAUGAAUGAACAUACCUGAGACGAAAGACUGACUCCGGCAAAUUCAGAAGAAACUCAGAAUUAAAUUUAUAAAUUUGGCAUUAUUACAUAUCUAUCAGUAAAUUAUUCUUGGAACUAUACUUCGAAUUUCUCUCUGCAACACCCCAAAGGGGAGAUAUUAUAUAAAGUAUCAUUCCAGUUCGAAUUUAUCUUCACUCGUAUGACGUGACAGCCACGGUUUUGUCCUCGAACCUUGAAGAUAUGAUGAAUUUGAUUAUUAAGUGCCAAAUAUUUCGACUGGGUUCUUUUAACAUGCAUGUCAUAGAAUGGUACAAGAAGGGUGUAUGGCACAAUCAAACUGAGUCUAUUAUCUGUAGAUUUUCAAGACUCGAGUAAAGUCAAAUUGGCGUUCAACAUUGACAAACCCAGAGGAUGCAGAGUCAAAGGAAUUCAUUUUGCAAAGUAAAGGUAAGAUUUCACGAGAAAUUCGAUAGUGCCCAAUUACACAGUCAAUGCAUUCAUUAAGGAAUAUUCAAGGCCAUUUACGCUAAUGUAUUUUUAUGACAAGCAGUUUCAGCUUGCCUCGGGUAUUCAGCACAUAUGCGCGCGUGUGUGUAUGUCUAUUUUUUUGUUUGUGUGUGUGUGUCUUUGUGUAUAUGUGUGUUUGUGCGUGAUUGUAUAUACCUACACACGCUUAAAAGUACAGUGCUUAGAAUCAAUUGGUUGUAGUAGGAGUAGCGAUAACGAAGGGGUAUUAUUUGUGUUACUGGUAACCAUUGUGGCGGUGGAGCUGGCGGUGACGGUAGUGUAGUUGUUUGUGUUGGUGGUGUUGGCGGCGGUCAUGCUAUAAUUAUCGGAAGGGUAGUAUUGUUUAUGUUGGAUGAGAUAAUGGUGGUGAGGGAGAAGCCAGGCCGAUAUAAUUGCCACCUGUUUCAUCAUUAAAAUUAUCGAUACACACCUGGUCGCCUUCUUUCAUCGCCACCCCGAAGAGAACAAUGACAGCAGCAGUUGUAGUGGUGUGCGAAUCAGCAAGUACCAUUACGGAAUACAACGCGAUAUUUAAUCCGGAGUUUCUUUUCUGUUUUACACUACUGCCAUAUAUUUCUUUAAAUUCUGGUUUCAAAUAUCAGCAAAACUGAGUUUCCAUAUCUUCCUUCCCAGUCCAUGGAACAGGUGGGUGACCCCCUUCGGUCAAGAAUGACCAUGUGAUUGCACCUAGAAAGUUACCCUCCGAGGCACAAGUCUGGGCAAGGUUGUUUAUGGAAGACCAGCAGUCACCCAUGUAUACCAGUCUCUCGCUCUCCACCCCACCGAUGUUAUUCAAGAGAAAGGUAAAGGCCGAUACAGCUUGGCACCAAUGACAUCGCAACUCAUUUCUACAGCUGAGUGAACUGGGGCAACGAGAAAUAAAGUGUCUUGCUCAAGAACACAACACACUGCCCGGUUCGGGAAUCGAACUCACAACCUCACGAUCGUAAGCUCGACGUUCUAACCACUGAGCCAUGUGCCAUCAUAGAAUAGGUAUCAGUUAUGUAUUAGGGUCGAUGCAAUUUAUUACAUUCUCCAACACCGACUUGUCUCUAUGAAAGAAAUCACCUGAAACACCUCCGAAGUUAAAUAUUACUUACAUGAUUCUGGAAAAGUUAAAUUAAGCAACGAUAAUUGGAAUAGAGUGUCCAAUAGAACUGUUACAAAAGGUUUGCAUCCUUGGCCUGGCCAGAAUAAUCAGGAAAGUAUUAGAUAACUGAAAAGAACGAAUAGUAUGGUACCGUAGGCUGCAGAUAAUAAGCCCGCUACGCAUGCAAGAUUCCAGAGGCUCCAACAAAACCUGUGAUAAAUGGGUGUGGCCUAGUGAUUAGGGUAUUGCACUGACGACCACUAGAUCAUGGGCUCGAUUCCCGGAGCGGGCGGUGCAUUGUGUUCUUGUGUAAACCACUUUAUUUCACAUUGUGCCAGUCUACCCAGCUGCAAGUUUGUAACUCUGCGAUGGAUUAGCCUUCCGAUCAGGAAGAAUACUAGCCUGCUUGCCUAGCCAGCGAGGCGGUGUCAUUCGAAAGUUACAACAAUGCAAAUAGCACUGUGACCAGCGAUGCAUUACAACAUUCGAUAGUCUGAUCGACAGCUAGGUCAGGCGGCAAGGUGUCAGAAUCGUUAACGCGUCGGAUAGAAUACUGAACGGCAUUUCUUUUGGCUCUGAAUGUUGUGCGUUCAAAACUCUGCGAGGUUAACUCUGACUUUCCAUCUCUUCAUGGCUGAUAAAAUAAAGUACCAUUCAAGUACCGGGGAGGGGAGGGCGAGGUAAUCGACUUGUUCCGUCCCCUCAAAAUUGCUAGCCUCGAACCCCACAACAGACCAGCAUUCUGUUCCAGGAAAAUGUUCUUAUCUCAUCAACUUAUGCGCUAUGGGAACUGAGUAACGGGCGUUAUGAGUCCUAGGGCUGAAGAAGGUGAAGGCGCGUGGCCAUGUGGUUAGGGCAUUAGUUUCAUAAUUGUAAGGUUAUGAGUUCGAUUCCUGGUGACGCAUUGUGUCCUUGAGCAAUGAGUUGUACUUGUAAUUCAAAGGACCAAUCACGUCACAUUCUUUGUCACAUUGAAUCUCCCCGAGAACUACGUUUAGACUAGCAUGUCUGUGGAGUACUCAGCCACUUGCAUGUUAAUUUCCGGUGUAGGCAGUUCCUUAAUUCCGGUCAGCUGGAUGCCUCAUCGUCGUAACCGACGGAGUGUCAGGGUCUGGUAAAGGAAAAAUACCUCAGGAUCUGAUUGAUCAACUAUUCUCUUUCUCCCAAAUUUACGACUUCUGUGUUUAUAUACAAAUCAUGUAUUUAGUUACUGUUUUAUAUAUUCUGAGUUCAAAUACUGCGUAGGCCAAUUUUCUUCAUUUCCCCCUCUCUCGGGUUUCAUAAAAUAAACUUAUAAUCGAGAACUGAAGUCGAUUGAGCGACCAAACGCUCUUUUCCCCAAAUUUCCCGCUACUCUUUGCCUAUGUUAGGAAUAAUUUUGUAGUAUUCAGUUGCGGCUUUUUAUGAGCAGUGUCCAAAUCUAGCCGAGGUCAAAUUACCUUUUCUUCUCGCAGGGAAUGGCUGAUAAAAUGCGAAUCACUUAUUGUGGGUAAGAAAGUUGUUUCUUCACUCCAGAUGUAACAAUUUGUGCUGAUACAAAGGAUCAUCGUCUGAGAAACCGUUGUUGUUUGGAUUGGUAGAACUAGUAGCGAAUUACUAAUCGCAAUUUAAAUCUUGCCAGAAUCGAUGAUUUUUAUUAUAAUAUAUUCUAAGGCGGCGAGCUGGCAGAAUUGUUAGCACGCCGGGUAAAAUGCUUAGCGGCAUUUCGUCCGUCUUUACGUUCUGAGUUCAAUUUCUGCUCAGGCCAAGAUUGCCAUUCAUCCUUAGGAUUCGAUGAAAUGAGUACCAGUUGACCACUCGGGUCAAUGUAAUCGACAAGCACCCUGCCACCAUUUUCAGGCCUUGUGUCUAUAAUAGAAAGUUUUAAUACAUAUUCUCGCAGUCGAUAUUGAAAAUAAAACUGAAAAACGAAAGGGCAAAGAAGUGGCUGUGGUAGUAAUAUUACAAAUUCUGAGUGAGGAGGUACUAGUAUCAUUGGGUGUUUCAUUAUUAUUAGUAGUAGUAGUCGAUGUGAUAUUAUCCUCCUCCUCCUCCUCCUCAUCAUCAUCAUCAUCAUCAUCAUUUUUGCUUUUAAUCUCCAUGUUUGUUACAAUCACUUGCCGAGACACACCCAGCGUCCGAGGUCGAGCAAACGAUAAGAGUUGUUACAGUGUGACUGAAAGCUUGGGGAAGGGAAGUGACAGGGGCAAUAGUGAAAUAUCAAAGGCGGCGAGCUGGCAGAAUUGUUAGCACGCCGGGCGAAAUGCUUAGCGGUAUUUCGUCUGCUGUUACGUUCUGAGUUCAAAUUCCGCCGAGGUCGACUUUGCCUUUCAUCCUUUCGGGGUCGAUAAAUUAAGUACCAGUUACGCACUGGGGUCGAUGUAACCGACUUAAUCUGUUUGUCUGUCCUUGUUUGUCCCCACUGUGUUUAGCCCCUUGUGAGUAAUAAAGAAAUAAAUAGCGAAAUAUCUUCAUGUAAUGCAACACAAACAUUUAAAUGGAUAGGGGUUUUUUCUAAGGUUGUGAGCUGUACUUGUGAGUAAAAUCUUUUGGAUUUCUCUGAGACAUGGUUCUCCUGGGAUCUUGUGUAGAUGUUUCUGACAUCCCAUUUUUGCAUAGCAAGGACACCUACAAUAACAGAAACAGUUCUUGCUUUAAAAUGCCGCAUCUUUUGUAUUUCAGUUUCCAGGUCCUUAUAUUUACUUAAUUUGCCAAAUUCCUCUACAAAUAUAUUUAUAUCAAAUGGAUCACUUACAUCUAUUAGUCUACAAGUAUUUUCUUCCUUAUCUGUAAUAAUUAUGUCUGAUCGAUUAGCCUCGAUCGUUCUGUCACUGUUGACUGGAAAAUUCCAGAGGAUGGUGACAUUUUUACCUUUGACGAUUGGUUCAGGAUGGUGUUCAUACCAGUAAGCAGGAAUGUUGAUUUUGUAGUGUUUACAUAUUUCCCAAUGUAAAUACUGCCCUACCCUAUCGUGAUGAUUUUCGCUUUCCUUUAGUGUCAGCGCAGGACAUCAUGAGACAAGAUGGUCUACUGAUUCGGCUAACGUGUCGCCUUAUUAUUAUUAUUAUUAUUAUUAUUAUUAUUAUUAUUAUUAUUAUUAUUAUUAUUAUUAUUAUUAUUAUUAUUAUUAUUAUUAUUAUUAUUAUUAUUAUUAUUAUUAUUAUUAUUAUUAUUAUUAUUGUAUCUACCGGGGGUUGUACUGCCCGUCAUGUACAUUAUUAUUAUUGUUAUUGUUGUUGUGACUGUUGUUGUUGUUGUUGUUGUGGCUGUUGUAGCAGAAUAGCUAGCGUAUCGGGCGAAAAUCUUUACGGCAUUUCGUCCAUCUCUACGUUCUGAGUUCAAAUUCUGCCGAGGUCGAUCUUAGCCUCAUCGUUUCAGGAUCGUAAAAAUAUAUAUAUAUAUAUAGAGAGAGAGAGAGAGAUUUUCUCAAUCAUUCAUCAUGCUGGACUUCUGAAAUCUACAAGUUUCUUUCACUCUCUCUGUUUAUUUUCUAUUAUUCCUUUCUGCUGAAGAGCGUAGGUCCAAAACGUAAAGGACUUUUUCAUUUUCCCGAGCGUCAAACUAUUACACUUGAUUUCUGUUCCUACACCUGACUUCGUCUUUUGUUUUUUUUUUGUUUUUCUAUGAAUUUCAACACUCUCACUCUCUCUCUCUCUCUCCCUCUCUCUCUCCCUCUCUCUCUGUAUACAUGCGCACGAGCACACACAUAUUGCUGUUGAUUAAGCCUAAUGAAGACCCUAUCGAAGAAGUCCUUUCUAGGCGUGCGGAUCUUUUUUAAUUUAUCUGUUACUUGCUUCUGUCACGUGACUGUGUCAAUGCUGGUGCACGUCCUGGAAGAUUUGAGUCAAACAAAUCGUCUCUAAUACUUGUUUUGUGGGAUUGUUGCUUAAUCUAUAGAACUGUUUUACCAAACCACAAGUUUAUGUGGACAUAAUAAAUUAUUCGGUCCGAGUUUUUAAACAAAGACACUUGCCCAACACACCGUGUAGGUUACAAAGCGAGCUUCUUAACCACACAGAUAUUUUUGCGUCUAUUCUCAUAUUCUUUCUGAUUUUUAAAAGGCAAGAUAUGGUUGGAGGGAGUCUCGUUUACUAUUUCAAGUAAACAGAUCAGCCGCAAAGAAGCUCCCGGUUUGACUGUUCUUACUGAAUACAUACAUGUAGGUACAUCUUCGAUGUCAACGUUCAGAUUCACAUAUUUGUUUUGAUACAGUUUCCGUAGAGUUUUGGCAUUUGUCCAGUAAAAUAUAUUGGAGAACCAUUAUAGUGGAAAAACUAUUAGAAUGUAGAAUCUAUGCGUGAUUUCUGAAUAAAAGAUGUUCGGGCACUGGAAAUGUUUGUAAAACGGAAAAUAAAUACUGUUUGGUCGUUAAAUGAGAGACCAAAUGUUUUCACACGUUGUCCAAAAUACUAAAAGACUUCCGAUUAAAAAGAAGCAGGACUGCAAAAAUAUGAUACAAAUGUACACACACACACACACACACACACACACACACACACACGCGCGCGCACGCACACGCACGCACACACGCACACACACACAAAUACAAACGGACACACAUGCAAACAUUUAUGGAGCCAUAUAUUCUAAUUCAUAGUUGCGACAUAUCUGAAUAUCGCAAUAACCUGCGUCGUGAGCAAGACGAAUCCGAUUCAAUAAAGCAUAUAAUCUCCAGCAUGCGUUGACUACUCCUCUCAUAUUCAUUCCAUGCUAUACCGUCAUGUGUGCGCGCGUGACUGUGUGUGUGUAUGCACAUUGAAAGCAUGGAUAUAUAUCUACAUCUGCAUCUAUCUAUCCAUAUCCAUAUGUACAGGUGAAUAUAUAUAUAUAUAUAUAUAUACUUUAUUUUAAGCAGCAGAAAAUUCAACAAAAUCUGUUACUCUGAGUUUCUCGUUGCCGUUCAUCAGACAGUUUUUGCUAGAAUGGAACAUAUAUAUUAAUUCAAUCUAUACUCUUACAAACGCUACACCUUUAAAAAGAAAUGGACUUGUUUGAUUGGCCCUUUAGAAAAAACGGUCAAUCUUCGAGCGAUAAACAAAAAGGUCAAAAAUAUAUGUAUAUAUAUAUAAAAACUUAUAAAAAUUAUAAAAUCCGUGGAAAAUACCGAGGAAAAAACCUGUUGCUGUUAAUGAAGACAGUACAAAUUAAUGCAUAGAAAUUAAACCUGUUAUAAAUACUGCAAUACAUAUUUAUAUUAAAAUCCACAUAUAUAUAUCAACAUACACAAAAGGAUGCGCGUAAACGCCAUACACACAUAUACAGACGUAUGAAUAUGAAUCUAAAUUAUACACAUAAAAGCAUGUGUACAUAUAUUCACGCAAACCGUCUCGCACGCAAGCUAAAAUUCAUCUAUGUAGCAAUUCUCAUAUACUGAGCAAGGAGGGGGAACGAAAGAAAGGGAAAGAGAGAAAGGGGUGGGGAAAAAACUUGUAGCGAUGUUAUUUGGCAUCUAUAGAGGCCAGUAUACAUACACAAGUUUGAAUUGAUACAUAUACAUACCGUCGUGUAUAUGUGUGCUUAAGCACAAGCAUACUUUCACUUACACAUACACAGAUACGCAUGCUUACAAAUACAUAUGCUUUGCUAUACACAAACUUAUAUAAACAUUCUAAAUUUGACAACAUUGCUUUUUUUAUAAAAAAACAUUGCUUUUAAAAAAUGGGUGCAUUAAUAAAAAUAUAUACGAAAGACCUAUAAAAUAAAAUAUAACAUCCUAUUUUGGGUCAUUUAUAAAUAAUCAAGGUAAUAUAAAUAAUCAAGGUAAUCUUAUGCAAUACAAUAACAUGAAAACAAAGUUUGUAGGUUUUUCCUAAUAUAUAUGUAGAAACAAUAAGACUUUGCUAUAGGUCCGUUGUAGCGCUCAAGAGUCAAAAUCAAAAUCAAAAAAUCAAAAUACAAAAUAUAUACUCUAUCCAUAUGGUAUAUUUAUAUUCGACAUUUUAAAUUUAGCCUUGUGCCUACAUAAGUUCAUUAAUUCACUUCUUUGAUUCAAAGAAUUAUUGUCUUUGAAUAAUAUGUGCAUUUUUUCUAAUAAGCAAAGCCUGCACUUGAAAUUAUAUUUGUAAGCUCCAUGCCUGUAUGGUGCCGCCCUUAGAAGGUAACAAAUAUGGAUUUAAAUCUCCCAGAAACCCACCACCGAUUCCGGAAUUAGAAGCCUUCGAGAAAGACCUUUUCGAGCUUAUUAGGAAUAUUAAAUUCCGCAAAUUUACCAACCAAUUGCAAAAAAACAUGAGAGAAAAAAUUAAGGAGAUUAACGGCUCGAAUAAGAUCUUCGUUAAUUCUGACAAGACAAGGAACUUAUAUGCACUUGAUAAGGACGUUUAUAAACGCCUGAUUUCGAAUAGUGUCACGGACACAUACAAAAAAGACAACACGAAUAUAUACAAAGAGGUGAACUUAGAAGCAAGAGGAAUAGCUAACGAUCUUAAGAUUAGCGAUAGGAUUGAAUACCUUUCACCACGACCAGCUUUUAUUACUCUGAAAGACCAUAAAGACAAUUUUAGUAGAAACCCCAAAUGUAGAUUGAUAAAUCCGGCUAAAACUGAGAUAGGAAUUAUUAGCAAAAAUAUUUUAGACCGUAUUUUAGUUAAAUUAGAUAGUGAAGUAGACUUGAGAAUUUGGAAGAAUAGUAAGUCAGUUAUAGAGUGGUUUAAAGGUAUUAGCUAUAAGAAUAAUUGUAGUUUCACACAAUUCGACAUUAUUGACUUUUACCCGUCGAUAUCUAGGACGUUGCUCCUAAGGGCAUUGGACUUCGCCAAGCAGUAUGUCAACAUCGAUAGCUCGGAAAUUGAAAUUAUUAUGCAUGCGAGGAAAUCGCUUCUGUUUUUCGAGGAUUCCACCUGGAUUAAGAAGACUGAGGAUUCUCUUUUCGAUGUACCGAUGGGGGCAUACGACGGGGCUGAAUUAUGUAUGCUUAUAGGAGCCUUUAUUCUCCAUAAUCUAAAAAUAGAAUUCCCAUUUAUAGAUGCAGGUCUAUAUAGGGAUGACGGCCUUAUAGCCACGCAUAAUCUAAACGGCCAUGAAUCAGAUAGACUUAGGAAGGACCUUAUAGCUUUCUUUCAAAGGAUGGGCUUACGGAUUACGAUAGAUACUAACCUGAAUAGUGUAGAUUUUUUUAGACGUAAAUUUUAAUGUAAGAUCGGAUAGAUUUAAACCUUUCCGUAAGCCCAAUGAAAAGCUAUCGUAUAUUAGCAAAGAUUCGAACCAUCCACCAGUUAUCCUUAGCAACUUAGUCAGCAAUGUAGGUAGAAGAAUAUCUUCAAUUUCUUCGGACGAGGCAGCAUUCCAUAAUGCUGCACCUUAUUACGAUAGCGCAUUAAAGAAUAGUGGAUUCUCGGAGAAGAUCCAGUUCAACCAGCUUAAUGCUAAUAAUAAUGCUGCACGAAGAACUAGGACUAGGAAAGUUUUGUGGUUCAACCCGGCUUUCAAUUUGGCCGUAAAGACUAAUAUAGGUAAGGAAUUUUUGAGAUUAGUCUCUAAGCAUUUUAGGCAGGGUCAUAAAUUCUACAGAAUAUUUAAUAGAAGAACCCUGAAGGUUAGCUAUUCUUGUUGCAGAAAUUUCGCCUCUUACAUUAGCCAACAUAAUAGGAAGCUAAUUGAGAUUAGACAUGGUGCCGAGCCCAUUAAGAAAUGUAAUUGCAAAAACGAAAGCUCCUGUCCGUUAGAAGGGAAAUGUCUAGUGAAAGGAGUAGUUUAUAGAGCCAAGUUGCAAGUGGAAGGCUCAUCGGAAUACAAGACAUACACAGGGGCUUCAGAAAAUUCAUUUAAAACAAGAUUUUAUUCUCAUAAGAAUUCUUUUAAAUACCCAGAGAAUAGAAAGAAAACCAGCCUAGCAAAAUAUGUCUGGGAACUAAAAGAAAAGGAAGCCCCACCUUUCAACGUGACAUGGAGCAUUCUGGACAGGGCGGCACCAUACAGGCAUGGAGCUUACAAAUAUAAUUUCAAGUGCAGGCUUUGCUUAUUAGAAAAAAUGCACAUAUUAUUCAAAGACAAUAAUUCUUUGAAUCAAAGAAGUGAAUUAAUGAACUUAUGUAGGCACAAGGCUAAAUUUAAAAUGUCGAAUAUAAAUAUACCAUAUGGAUAGAGUAUAUAUUUUGUAUUUUGAUUUUUUGAUUUUGAUUUUGACUCUUGAGCGCUACAACGGACCUAUAGCAAAGUCUUAUUGUUUCUACAUAUAUAUUAGGAAAAACCUACAAACUUUGUUUUCAUGUUAUUGUAUUGCAUAAGAUUACCUUGAUUAUUUAUAUUACCUUGAUUAUUUAUAAAUGACCCAAAAUAGGAUGUUAUAUUUUAUUUUAUAGGUCUUUCGUAUAUAUUUUUAUUAAUGCACCCAUUUUUUAAAAGCAAUGUUUUUUUAUAAAAAAAGCAAUGUUGUCAAAUUUAGAAUGUUUAUAUAAGUUUGUGUAUAGCAAAGCAUAUGUAUUUGUAAGCAUGCGUAUCUGUGUAUGUGUAAGUGAAAGUAUGCUUGUGCUUAAGCACACAUAUACACGACGGUAUGUAUAUGUAUCAAUUCAAACUUGUGUAUGUAUACUGGCCUCUAUAGAUGCCAAAUAACAUCGCUACAAGUUUUUUCCCCACCCCUUUCUCUCUUUCCCUUUCUUUCGUUCCCCCUCCUUGCUCAGUAUAUGAGAAUUGCUACAUAGAUGAAUUUUAGCUUGCGUGCGAGACGGUUUGCGUGAAUAUAUGUACACAUGCUUUUAUGUGUAUAAUUUAGAUUCAUAUUCAUACGUCUGUAUAUGUGUGUAUGGCGUUUACGCGCAUCCUUUUGUGUAUGUUGAUAUAUAUAUGUGGAUUUUAAUAUAAAUAUGUAUUGCAGUAUUUAUAACAGGUUUAAUUUCUAUGCAUUAAUUUGUACUGUCUUCAUUAACAGCAACAGGUUUUUUCCUCGGUAUUUUCCACGGAUUUUAUAAUUUUUAUAAGUUUUUAUAUAUAUAUACAUAUAUUUUUGACCUUUUUGUUUAUCGCUCGAAGAUUGACCGUUUUUUCUAAAGGGCCAAUCAAACAAGUCCAUUUCUUUUUAAAGGUGUAGCGUUUGUAAGAGUAUAGAUUGAAUUAAUAUAUAUGUUCCAUUCUAGCAAAAACUGUCUGAUGAACGGCAACGAGAAACUCAGAGUAACAGAUUUUGUUGAAUUUUCUGCUGCUUAAAAUAAAGCAUAUUACUCUACCACUGGUAUUUGAGUACUCUUUUUUCCACCUUGUUUCACAUUUAUGUGUUUACUCCGGUAUAUAUAUAUAUAUAUAUAUAUAUAUAUAUAUAUAUAUAUAUAUAUAUAUAUAUAUAUGUAUAUAUGUAUAUAUAUAUAUAUAUGUAUAUAUAUAUAUGUAUAUAUAUGUAUGUAUGUGUGUGUGUAUAUAUAUAUAUAUGGUUGUGUGGUAAGUAGCUUGCUUACCAACCACAUGGUUCCGGGUUCAGUCCCACUGCGUGGCAUCUUGGGCAAGUGUCUUCUGCUAUAGCCUCGGGCCGACCAAUGCCUUGUGAGUGGAUUUGGUAGACGGAAACUGAAAGAAGCCUGUCGUAUAUAUGUAUAUAUAUAUAUAUAUAUAUAUAUAUAUAUAUAUGUGUGUGUGUGUGUGUGUGUGUGUGUAUGUUUGUGUGUCUGUGUUUGUUCCCCUAGCAUUGCUAGACAACCGAUGCUGGUAUGUUUACGUCCCCGUCACUUAGCGGUUCGGCAAAAGAGACCGAUAGAAUAAGUACUGGGCUUACAAAGAAUAAAUCCCGGGGUCGAUUUUGCUCGACUAAAGACGGUGCUCCAGCAUGGCCGCAGUCAAAUGACUGAAACAAGUAAAAGAGUAAAGAGAGUAAAGCGUAUAUAUUGGUGGAUAUAGGUGACUAUUUAUGUAUAACUAUAUGUGUGUGUGUAUAUAUAUUAAUAUAAUAUAUGCAUAUAUAUAUGUAUAUGUAUGUGUAUGUAUGUAUAUAUAUAUGUGUGUGUGUGUGCGUGUGUACGUGCUGUGUAUGUGUGUGUACAAGUUCAUUUGUGCUUGUAUUAGCAUAUUUCUGUGUAUAAUUGUGUACGCGUGAAAAUUCUUGAGUAAAAAUUCAAAGCUGUCUUAUGGAUACCCUUGUAUGUAUGAGCCUAUAUGUUUGUAUAUAUGAACGUAUGUAUACAUUUUUACAUUCCUGUAUGUAUUAGUGUGUGUAUGUGUGUGUGUAUGUGUGUGUGUAUGUGUGUGUGUGUGUAACUAAGCACCUGCUUGUGAGCGACAUUUUGUCACCUGACAUUUAAGUUUCAAUUUUGUUACCUCUGUUUUUCCUUCGGUUUUUCUGCUUUUCCUUACGCGUCCACCCCUCUCACGCGCGUCCCCCCAUAUAUUCCUACGUCACUUCACUGGACGCCAUUAUAAUUGCAACGUUAUAACAUUUGAUCACUUGUUUUCUUUAUUCACAGUUUGGACAGAACUUAUGGGAUGACCUGAUAUAUGAAAGAUAUAUACAUAAAUAUACAUAUGCAUGUAUGUUUAAAUGCAGAUGUAUAAGUACAUAUGUAUAUAUCUAUGUAGAUAAAUAGGAAAGAAGAAU